CUUCCUCGAUCUGCUGGGGACAGAUGAAAUGGAUGUGCGAAUCGAUUCCACCUGCGGUGACGAUCGUGCCCUCGCCGGCGAUGAUCUCCGUGCCGGCGCCGAUCACGAUAUCGACCGCGGGCUGGAUGUCCGGAUUGCCGGCCUUGCCGAGCUUCGCAAUUCUGCCGUCCUUGAUCGCGAUGUCGCACUUCACGAUGCCCCACCAGUCGAUGACCAGCGCAUUGGUGAUCACCGUGUCGGCGCUGUCCUUCGCCGCACGCUGGCUCUGGCCCAUGCCGUCGCGGAU
rnacentral:sRNA from 1 species